GUCACAUUCUCCAAAGGUGCCACCAGCCUGGAAAGCACCAGCAGGCACACUGGCAGUCCGAGGAGGAAGGAUUGUUCCUUCUGCCUCCAGCACGUUUCCUAACUGGACAAACCCCGAGGUCCAGUGACAGGCUCUCGGCAUUGCUCAUCCUGGCCAGAAACCUGACCCCAGCUGGACUCUGCCUGCCAUGAGAUGGCCUGGGAAGUCUGAAUGGAAAGAGAUGGGAAGCAUGGGCUGGGGCAGGGAUGAGAGGAACGUAAUCGAGGCUGGAGCUGCCAGCGGGGUUUAGAGCUGCGGGUUUAUCAAGCACAGUAUCAUCCCCCCCCUCCCUGGAAUAUAAAGGGAGUGAAACAGAAGCCGUGUGGGAGAUAAGGCGGCAGCACCCAGCAGCUCAUAUGGAAUUACUGCAGUGACCUUGACCAAGAGUGGCCAGAACUUCUAUGCCGCCCACCUGCCCUCUGCUACCAGUCUCCUCCUUGGAAGGGAAGAUGCCAGCACAGGACAUUCUUCCAUUGUACGUGACUGAUGUAAAACUUUCAUCUACCCCGUGUUGUAUUAACAGAUUUUCCUGUGGGCAGAUGAACACAUGGAGCCUGGUUUCAAUAGACUGAAGAUAUGGAUCCAUGGAGACAUGGAGGGGCUUUGCCAUCCUUUAAGGUAAAACUACCAAAUGAAAGGAUUCCUGCCUCUCUGACAAUCACGUUGCCUCUAGAACAUGCAGACUCCUUCUCUCCUAGAAACAGAUGGCUUGAGCAGUUUGAGUUGGGCAAAUUCACAACGCUGAUAAUCAUCUCCAGGGAGGCAGGAGCUAUUGUCAGAGCCUGUGAGACACACCCCAACUUCAGGCCUUUUUCCUCCCAAUUCUCAAAAUGUUGCUGAAAUUCUCACUCCAGGAAUGCUGAGCAGAGACAUUCCCUUUGUGGGCCUGUGCCCACUGAGCCAGAGGAGGCUCCUGCUGCUAGACAAGCCAAAAUGCUUCCCCACACCCCACUAUGAGAGAACAACUCAAAAGAUGAGGAGCCUCACCUGGCCAGUGAAAAGAACAAGCUGUGCUUUGCCAUGGUAUUGCUUGGAGCCAAGGGGAGAAAUAGAUCCUCUCCCCAGGGACAGCACAGGAGUUAAAAUGAGAAAGCAGAAGACACCAAUUCAGCAGAAGGAGCAGUCAUUUCACUGUGCAUGUGCAGCUGCAAGCCAGCCCAGGACAGGGGCAGUGCCCAAGGGGCACACCUGGAGCCACUGAGCUCAUGGCUGAGCUAUGCUGAGCAUGGAUAGGCAUCUGCUGCUUAACAGCUCCAGUGGGAUCACCAUCCCCAAUUAAUGAUCUACACUGAUGUCACUGCUCUGCAGGGCCAAAGCCUUUCUGGGGAAUGCUGUCCAGCCACUUUAGCAGGAAGGUGGCACUUAGUGACACCAGGCCAAGACAGACCCCACACAGAGCUCACUCUGCCUCCAGAACCUGCUCCAAGUCCAGUGUGCCACACUCAGGCCUGGGAUGCCUCCACAAAAAGCCCCAUUCCAGCAGUGAUGCACACAGAUGGAAAAUGGUGAUGAGCCCAGACACACAGGCACAUGGACAGACAGGAGGGGUGGCUCUAACAGGAGGACUUAGCAUGGCUCACAACUUUUAUAGCACAAAUUUUGCUCAUUUAAGAGUGAUUAGUCUUGGAAGGAAGAAUGUAAAACCUGGCUCAGAAUGGGGCGUGGGUACCUGGAGCUCAAUGGAAAGAGAUGGCAAGAUCAGCACAAGAAGGAAAUCUGUGAGUGCAGAACCAGGCAGGGUGGCACAUCCCUUGGGACAGUUUUUUUACUGGGAUCCAGAAUGCCUCAGAGAAGCCUCCUGUCAGCAAGUCCCAAGGGGAGACUGGACAAGACACCAAAAAUAUGGAUAAAACCCAGGGUGGAUUUGUCUACUCUCCUGGUACCAGUAUUCAUGAGUACAAGUACAACCUGCUCACUCACCUGCUAGCAAAGCACAAUCAAGACACAAAGAAUAUGCCUCAUGUUAACUGGCACUUUUAAAUUCUCCUUUAGCAGAAAUACCAGUAUUUUCCAGUCUUAAUGUUUUCUGAAGUGGUGAUACUUCUUGCCUUGUCUCUUCUUGGCAAGUAUCAUCUGUAGCAGUAACAGAUGAUCUAGCAAUAGUCUCACAUCACAGUGUGUCAGAAAAGAGGCAGCCCGGUAUUUGUAACCACUGAAUCACUUCAGAAAGAAGAAUCUCCACUCCAUCUGUGUAAAUAUGGUUAUUUAUUUUAUUUUGUUUUAAGCAAGUCUAUUUCUGCAUACAAAGGGCUUCACUCCCACUUCAGAGCAUGUUACUGCUUCAGAUCCUCAAAUAAAGACACCAUUUUGCUCACCAUUGAAUCCAGCAGCCUGUAAACCUGCAGAAAUUCAAAAGCAGCUGCAGUGAAAAUACGUGAGGAAAUCCUGAGGCUGAGAUUGACAGAGAUGGUUUCUGAGGUACAUUUUCAAAUGGGCACACACACAACCACAUAGAAGUGGGAGCCUGCAGCUGACAGAGCUCUAGUAAUAACUUCCCCAGCUAUGAAGUGUGUUUAACAUUAUCCAAGGUACAAUUAAUUCAGCUGAUCCCUCCAGAGUCUGCAAGCAAUGCUAAAGACAUCCCAGAUAGAAGUGCCGCAUGUGGCUGUGUGAUGGCUGCAUUUCUGCUAACAGAUUCCAGGCUGAAACAAAUUAAUUUGGAUUUCACACUUACCUUGCUGCA